UUAAAAAAAAAAAAAAAAAAUUAUAACACGUAUCUUCAUUUUUGUGUUCUAACCAUCAUAUCAAGUUCACACGCAAGAUAUAUGUAGAAAAAAUGGUUUAAUUAACAAAAUAUGGCCAUCAAUAAUGACUACUUGUUCAACUCUAUGAAAACAAACUCAAACUAACUUAGAACUUAGCACAUUAAGUAGUUAAAAAAAAUUACGAUAUUGUUAUGACACUGGUAGCAUAUGCAAGAGUCUAGUGAAAUUAAUAAUAUCUGUAUUUUUAUGAUAACUUCAAGAUUUUCAAAGAGUCCAAAAACUACACAAUAGUAAAACUAGCAUAGAUGAAAGAGAGAACUCACAUGCUCUUCUUUCCAUUUAGAUGG
rnacentral:misc_RNA from 1 species